AGUUUGAUCCUGGCUCAGGAUGAACGCUAGCGACAGGCUUAACACAUGCAAGUCGAGGGGCAGCACGGGUGCGGCAACGCAUUGGGUGGCGACCGGCGCACGGGUGAGUAACGCGUAUGCAACCUGCCCGUCAGAGCGGGGCAGCCCAUCGAAAGAUGGAUUAAUACCGCAUGAAACAGGGGUCCCGCAUGGGGAUAUUUGUUAAAGGCCGCGAGGCCGCUGACGGAUGGGCAUGCGUUCCAUUAGCUAGUUGGCGGGGCAAAGGCCCACCAAGGCGACGAUGGAUAGGGGUUCUGAGAGGAAGGUCCCCCACAUUGGUACUGAGACACGGACCAAACUCCUACGGGAGGCAGCAGUGAGGAAUAUUGGUCAAUGGCCGGAAGGCUGAACCAGCCAAGUCGCGUGGAGGAAGAAGGAUCUAUGGUUUGUAAACUUCUUUUGUGCGGGGGUAAAAGUCGGGACGUGUCCCGGUUUGCAAGUACCGCACGAACAAGCAUCGGCUAACUCCGUGCCAGCAGCCGCGGUAAUACGGAGGAUGCGAGCGUUAUCCGGAUUUAUUGGGUUUAAAGGGUGCGUAGGCGGCCUGUUAAGUCAGCGGUGAAAGGCGGUCGCUCAACGAUGGCAUUGCCGUUGAAACUGGUAGGCUGGAGGGCGGACGAGGCAGGCGGAAUGCGUGGUGUAGCGGUGAAAUGCAUAGAUAUCACGCAGAACCCCGAUAGCGAAGGCAGCUUGCCAGGCCGCGCCAGACGCUGAGGCACGAAAGCGUGGGUAUCAAACAGGAUUAGAUACCCUGGUAGUCCACGCAGUAAACGAUGAUUACUAGGAGUUUGCGAUAGACAGUAAGCUCCCGAGCGAAAGCGUUAAGUAAUCCACCUGGGGAGUACGCCGGCAACGGUGAAACUCAAAGGAAUUGACGGGGGCCCGCACAAGCGGAGGAACAUGUGGUUUAAUUCGAUGAUACGCGAGGAACCUUACCCGGGUUUGAACGCGGGGCGACGCGGAUGGAAACAUCCGUUCUAGCGAUAGCGGCCCGCGAGGUGCUGCAUGGUUGUCGUCAGCUCGUGCCGUGAGGUGUCGGCUUAAGUGCCAUAACGAGCGCAACCCCUGCCGUUAGUUGCUAACAGGAAAGCUGAGGACUCUAGCGGGACUGCCAGCGCAAGCUGUGAGGAAGGCGGGGAUGACGUCAAAUCAGCACGGCCCUUACAUCCGGGGCGACACACGUGUUACAAUGGCGCGGACAGAGAGCAGCGACCUGGCGACAGGGAGCGAAUCUUCCAAACCGCGUCUCAGUUCGGAUCGGAGUCUGCAACCCGACUCCGUGAAGCUGGAUUCGCUAGUAAUCGCGCAUCAGCCAUGGCGCGGUGAAUACGUUCCCGGGCCUUGUACACACCGCCCGUCAAGCCAUGGGAGCCGGGGGUGCCUGAAGUCCGUAACCGCGAGGGGCGGCCUAGGGUAAAACUGGUGACUGGGGCUAAGUCGUAACAAGGUAACCGUA
rnacentral:rRNA from 1 species